GGGGACAACAAAGGAUGAGAUGGUUGGAUGGCAUCAAUGACUCAAUGGACAUGAGUUUAGAUUGCUGAAAUCUGUCAAAAGCUCCUCAAAAGAUUCAAGCAUUCUCUUGAAAAGGACUAAUUACAUACCAUUAAAGUCCCGGUGGAGUUCCCCCGAUAACCCUGCCACCGCUGUCCAUCGAGGCUGUACAUGAUGAUAAACUGAGAGAUGUACAGGCUGGAGAACUUCUGCCGGGCACCCUGAGUCAGGAUGCUGUGAAUAAUCAUCGGCACCAACAGAUCCACCUACCAAUGAAAGCAACACUUGAUUUUACAUAGAGGGACAUAUCCCCAGGGCCUAGACCUUGAAAGGAGCUCCUCAGCAAGCACUGGAAGUUGAAGACAGAGCACAAACUGGUUUGUACCUGGGUAGAGAUUGUAGACUGCCAUUUUAUACUCCUCUGUUUUU